AUCCAGCUGACAAGUCCUGAAUAGGACGAAAUGCGCGUUCUGAAU
rnacentral:hammerhead_ribozyme from 1 species